rnacentral:lncRNA from 1 species
GUUGCUCAUAGUGUCCAUUAUUAUUUUUUUUUUAAAGAGAGAGAGAGAGAGACAUUUUUAAUGUUUAUUUUAUUUUUUUUAGUUUUUGGUGGACACAACAUCUUUGUUUGUAUGUGGUGCUGAGGAUUGAACCCGGGCCGCACGCAUGCCAGGCAAGUGCGCUAUCGCUUGAGCCACAUCCCCAGCCCCUAGUGUCUAUUAUUGAUUGCAGUCCUUGAUAUACUCCCAGCAUAUCAGAGAUAAUCCUUUCUUGUAGGCAUAGGAAGGAUGAGCCUGGUUGUGAUUCAUAUAUUCUAUAUCUUAGAGCACUCAUAACAUGUUAGGUUCCAUGGCCAGAACUGGAGAAUCAGGCAUAGGAUAACAGUUCCUGCCCUGGGUUCACUCCACGAAUUGGUAGGUAUCCAGACUAAUAGUUACAGUGCAGUACAUAAGGGAACGUGGAUUCCAGCAGGAGCCCAGAAGAGGGUUCCCUAACCUGAGGAAAUGACAGCUGAGCUGAGUUUUCCAGGGAAAGCAUACAGGUAGAUGUUCUAGGCAGAAGGUGUGAAAGUGCAGAUGCCUGAGAGAAAGGUAUUUUUGAGGUACCACAAUGAGAAUGAUGAGACUGGAGGUUGGAGUGUAAGGAUCAUUUUGGAAGUUGAGAUUCAAGAAGCAAGCAGGAGUUGGGACAUGGGACAGGAGUUUGGCCUUCAUCCUAAAGACAUGGAGGCCACUGAUGGAUUUUUAGCUGGGGAGAAAUAGGAUAAAAUUUUUGUUGGCUAAAGGUCAUACUGGUCAGCAGCCUGCCUGUUCAAGGCAAGAGCAUUUUUUUGCUGUGAAGAAUGAGGGCCAGUGGAUUCAGUGUGCAAUAAAGGAUAGGAAAAUGGCCUUUUGCAUUUUCUUCUCUCCCCUGGAUCUUGAUUCAUCAAGAAGGCACUCCUUGCUUCCUGAGAUACAGCCCGGACACCUAGGCCUGUAACACAGUGGGCCCAGCCUUCUUGAUGCUGUGGUUUUAAGAGUGUGACAGGCAUUUCCUGCCCAAAAGGCACUUAAGGUAAAAUCAGAAAGACCAGAUGCACUUAAAAAUAAAAUAACAGGGGCUGGGGAUAUAGCUCAGUGCCACAGCUCUUACUACCAUGUGAUAGGCCUUGGCUUGAUCCCUGGUACCAUCAAAAUAAAAAAAUUGAGCUAAAAGGUAAGUGAAGUUGAGGGUAGGAGUACAUAUCUUUGGGGCAGGGUUGUAUCAAGGGGAAGAUUCCUGAAGACAGCAGACUUUGAGAUUGGCUUUGAAGCUGUUUAAGCUCUGGAUUCUCCAUUAUAGUUUCUGCAGGCCUUAUGAACUCCCUCCUGAGUUUAAGUCACAAUUGCAGCCUUACUUUUGUUUGUGUGGUUAUUAGAAUUGUGACCAUUUUCCCCCACAAACCCUUAGGUUUUAUGAGGUUGGAUUUUCCUCACCUCUGUAUCCAUUGAGCCAGCACACAGUAAACCUUCAAUUAAUAUUUGCUGGAUAAGGCUGGGGGUAUAACUCAGUGGUAGAGCCCUCCCUAGCAUGUUUGAGGCCCUGGGUUGGAUCCCCAGCACUGUGUGAAAAAGAAAAAAAUUGUUGGAUUAAUUAACGUGUGAGUGAGCAAAUGAGAAAAUGGUGAGAAAGAGGGAAUGAAAUCUUCAGGAUAGAAAAAUAUAAUAAACAAAGGGCAGGGGCAGAAACAGUAUAUUGAUCUCUUAUGUUUGUACAGUGCUUUAUUGCUCAAAAACGUCACCAUCUUAUUUGAUCUCUAUUGUCAACUAUCUUGAAAUGAUUAAGACAGGUGUUAUUCCUGGUUUACAAUGAGAAAAGAAAGAAGUUCAGUGAUUUGUCCAAAGUUUCACUGCUAUUAAGUAAGGAGAUCAGACUUGAACCUGAAUAUUUUAACACAAAGCUGGUGUAGUAACUUGAUUUCCUUUCUUCUUUCUCCUUUCCCAAGGGGAACAUACAGUGAGAUAUGGGUCUAGAGUGGUGAUCUGGCCAGGUCAUGGAAAAUCUUAAGUUUCAGUCUAAGGAAUUUGGACUUUAUCCUCCAGCCUAUGGGAGGUUUUUUGUUUCAUUUUGAGUUUUUGAAAGAUUUUGUGUAUUUAUUUAUUUGCAUUAUUGAAGAUUGAACCCAGGCCCUUAAGCAUGCUAGACAAGUGCUGUACCACUAUGCCACAUCCCUAGCCCUUUUUGUUUUUUUCAGGGUCUCACUAAGUUGCCCAGGCUGGCUUACAAUGUGAUCUUCCUGCCUCAGCUCCCAAGUAACUGGGAUUACAAGCGUCCACCACUGCACCUGGCUUAGAAGAUAUCAAAUAAAGGAUAAAUAUUAAUGGUAUUUGUGAAGUGUGGUAUAAAUUUAAUUGCAUAUUAAUAUUUAUUUAUUUAUUUUUUUAAAUAUUUAUUUUUUAGUUCUUGGCGGACACAACAUCUUUGUUUGUAUGUGGUGCUGAGGAUCGAACCCGGGCCGCACGCCUGCCAGGCGAGCGCGCUACCUCUUGAGCCACAUCCCCAGCCCCAUUAAUAUUUAUUUAAAAUAAACAUAUGGAAAAUAAAUUUAGUUUUAAGAACCAGGAGUCA